AGCGAACGCUGGCGGCAGGCCUAAUACAUGCAAGUCGAACGCACCUUCGGGUGAGUGGCGGACGGGUGAGUAACGCGUGGGAACGUGCCCUUUGGUUCGGAAUAACUCAGGGAAACUUGAGCUAAUACCGGAUGUGCCCUUCGGGGGAAAGAUUUAUCGCCAUUGGAGCGGCCCGCGUUGGAUUAGCUAGUUGGUGGGGU
rnacentral:rRNA from 1 species